rnacentral:rRNA from 2 species
UAGAGUUUGAUCCUGGCUCAGAUUGAACGCUGGCGGCAGGCCUAACACAUGCAAGUCGAGCGGUAGCACAGAGAGCUUGCUCUCGGGUGACGAGCGGCGGACGGGUGAGUAAUGUCUGGGAAACUGCCUGAUGGAGGGGGAUAACUACUGGAAACGGUAGCUAAUACCGCAUAACGUCGCAAGACCAAAGUGGGGGACCUUCGGGCCUCAUGCCAUCAGAUGUGCCCAGAUGGGAUUAGCUAGUAGGUGGGGUAACGGCUCACCUAGGCGACGAUCCCUAGCUGGUCUGAGAGGAUGACCAGCCACACUGGAACUGAGACACGGUCCAGACUCCUACGGGAGGCAGCAGUGGGGAAUAUUGCACAAUGGGCGCAAGCCUGAUGCAGCCAUGCCGCGUGUAUGAAGAAGGCCUUCGGGUUGUAAAGUACUUUCAGCGGGGAGGAAGGUGUUGAGGUUAAUAACCUCAGCAAUUGACGUUACCCGCAGAAGAAGCACCGGCUAACUCCGUGCCAGCAGCCGCGGUAAUACGGAGGGUGCAAGCGUUAAUCGGAAUUACUGGGCGUAAAGCGCACGCAGGCGGUCUGUCAAGUCGGAUGUGAAAUCCCCGGGCUCAACCUGGGAACUGCAUUCGAAACUGGCAGGCUAGAGUCUUGUAGAGGGGGGUAGAAUUCCAGGUGUAGCGGUGAAAUGCGUAGAGAUCUGGAGGAAUACCGGUGGCGAAGGCGGCCCCCUGGACAAAGACUGACGCUCAGGUGCGAAAGCGUGGGGAGCAAACAGGAUUAGAUACCCUGGUAGUCCACGCCGUAAACGAUGUCGACUUGGAGGUUGUGCCCUUGAGGCGUGGCUUCCGGAGCUAACGCGUUAAGUCGACCGCCUGGAGAGUACGGCCGCAAGGUUAAAACUCAAAUGAAUUGACGGGGGCCCGCACAAGCGGUGGAGCAUGUGGUUUAAUUCGAUGCAACGCGAAGAACCUUACCUACUCUUGACAUCCAGAGAACUUUCCAGAGAUGGAUUGGUGCUUUCGGGAACUCUGAGACAGGUGCUGCAUGGCUGUCGUCAGCUCGUGUUGUGAAAUGUUGGGUUAAGUCCCGCAACGAGCGCAACCCUUAUCCUUUGUUGCCAGCGGUUCGGCCGGGAACUCAAAGGAGACUGCCAGUGAUAAACUGGAGGAAGGUGGGGAUGACGUCAAGUCAUCAUGGCCCUUACGAGUAGGGCUACACACGUGCUACAAUGGCGCAUACAAAGAGAAGCGACCUCGCGAGAGCAAGCGGACCUCAUAAAGUGCGUCGUAGUCCGGAUUGGAGUCUGCAACUCGACUCCAUGAAGUCGGAAUCGCUAGUAAUCGUAGAUCAGAAUGCUACGGUGAAUACGUUCCCGGGCCUUGUACACACCGCCCGUCACACCAUGGGAGUGGGUUGCAAAAGAAGUAGGUAGCUUAACCUUCGGGAGGGCGCUUACCACUUUGUGAUUCAUGACUGGGGUGAAGUCGUAACAAGGUAGCCGUA